rnacentral:rRNA from 1 species
GUCCACGCCCUAAACGAUGUCUACUAGUUGUCGGGUCUUAAUUGACUUGGUAACGCAGCUAACGCGUGAAGUAGACCGCCUGGGGAGUACGGUCGCAAGAUUAAAACUCAAAGGAAUUGACGGGGACCCGCACAAGCGGUGGAUGAUGUGGAUUAAUUCGAUGCAACGCGAAAACCUUACCUACCCUUGACAUGGAUGGAAUCUUCGAGAGAUUGGAGAGUGCCCGAAAGGGAACCAUUACACAGGUGCUGCAUGGCUGUCGU